GGCUGUGAGAAAGAGGCUCCCUUCCCUCAGCACAGUCGGAUUUGCAAUCAUAUCUCCCUUUUUGGUAGGAAGCUAAAGAGCUACACACCCUGUUACAAACGUGACCGUGGAGCUCCCAGUGACAUUGCAGCUGAUGGCACUUGUCAACAGCAGCAGGAGCUUUCCUAAGGACAAGGGGAGCUGGAGUCCAGCUCAGGAGUGCCUGGAGAUGGGAAAGAGCACUAAAGCAUGGGAGAGCCCUCUCUCUUCCAAGUGUGGCCUGCUGAUUGUGUACACCGUAAAACAUCAGUGUCAAAAGCCAUGAGAGAACACACCCACUGCAAGGCAUGAAAUGGAUUUCACCACCACACACUGAUGUUCCACUGGGGCAGAACAUGUGGUUAGCUGUCUAUCACAGCAGCAAAUGUAAAUCCUGCAUGGACCAGAGGCAAAUUCCAGACUAUUCCCACCUGCCUGCUGUACUCUUGCUGAUCAAUUAUCCUGUUGAACUGGAAGUGAACCUGCUGCAAAGGGUUAAGGUGGCUGCUCUGUCACACACAAGAUGUAUAGAAGUCUCCCCAGAGGAGAGAAGAGUAGCAAUGGCACUGAUGUCCAGCUCAGAAGCUGUCUGA
rnacentral:lncRNA from 1 species